CAGGAUGCUCUGCUGGAGAAGACAAAUCCAAUCAGAAGUUCAGCCAGACAGACCACAGAGGCAAAGAAGGAUGCGUACGAAUUUGAAUACACGUCUGAUCCUGCCACACAUGAGAUGGUCUCUGAAAUGAAGCAAAAAGUUUUUGUCCAGAAGGCUGCUUUACCCAGGAGUUCCAGCAAACGAGACCUUGAACGGAGCAAGUCUGAGCGAAGACUG